UACGUAGGGCGCAAGCGUUGUCCGGAAUCAUUGGGCGUAAAGCGCGCGUAGGCGGCCCCGUAAGUCCGCUGUGAAAGUCAAAGGCUCAACCUUUGAAAGCCGGUGGAUACUGUGGGGCUAGAGUCCGGAAGAGGCGAGUGGAAUUCCUGGUGUAGCGGUGGAAUGCGCAGAUAUCAGGAGGAACACCGAUAGCGAAGGCAGCUCGCUGGGACGGUACUGACGCUAAGGCGCGAAAGCGUGGGGAGCGAACAGG
rnacentral:rRNA from 1 species